UACCAGCACCCCGAGUGGUCGGGACGAUUAUUGGGCCUAAAGCAUCCGUAGCCGGUUCUACAAGUCUUCCGUUAAAUCCACCCGCUUAACAGAUGGGCUGCGGAGGAUACUAUGGAGCUAGGAGGCGGGAGAGGCAAGCGGUACUUAGUGGGUAGGGGUAAAAUCCGUUGAUCCAUUGAAGACCACCAGUGGCGAAGGCGGCUUGCCAGAACGCACUCGACGGUGAGGGAUGAAAGCUGGGGGAGCAAACCGG
rnacentral:rRNA from 1 species